ACUGUAGGUGAAAGCUUACAUCUCUUCGGAGCAUUUACGAGGUGCUGCAUGGUUGUCGUCAGCUCGUGCCGUGAGGUGUCGGGUUAAGUCCCAUAACGAGCGCAACCCCUACCUUAGUUGCCAUCAGGUUAAGCUGGGGACUCUAAAGGAACUGCCUACGCAAGUAGUGAGGAAGGCGGGGAUGAACGUCAAAUCAGCACGGCCCUUACGUCCAGGGCUACACACGUGCUACAAUGGCCGAUACAGAGGGCAGCUACCUGGUGACAGGAUGGCAAAUCUCCAAAGUCGGUCUCAGUUCGGAUCGCAGUCUGCAACUCGACUGCGUGAAGUCGGAAUCGCUAGUAAUCGUGAAUCAGAAUGUCACGGUGAAUACGUUCCCGGGCCUU
rnacentral:rRNA from 1 species